GAAAACUGAGGCUCAGGGAGGUUAAGUGAGUUGCCUAAGGUUGUAUAUCUAGUGAGUGGCAAAAUCCAUCUAGAAGCCACUUGCAUUGGGAAACGAAGCAUGUGUAGACAUGAAUUCACUGGGAAAUGCUGCCUACUUCACUGUAUGGGUAACUUUUUUAUGACCAGCUUUAAGACACAAAGAGUGUUAUUGGGUAUCUCUCAAUAGUAAAAUGGAUAAAAUGGGUGUUUUGCCCUUAGUUUUGGACCUAAAUUGAAAAUUGACUCCUUAUGUGCUUUAUUUUUAUCUCCAGUGUGUUUACAGAAUCUUGUUAUUACUGUAGAGGAGUGACAAAUGAUAGGUGACAUAUGAGAGUAGAUUAAUGAUAUGACAUAGAGGCCACUCUGUCCUUCCCUGUAUAAGAUGGUUAUCAUAUAAAAAGAGCCAUCCUUGAGAUUUCUUACUUGACAUUUCAGUCUAUAUGUCCACCUCUCCAUCCUUUGAUACAGGACAGUUUUACAGCUAAGGUUGGAUUGUAAUUGCACACAUUUCCAGCCUACUGGUCAGUCCUCCCAUCAUGUUUCUUACCAGUAAGACUGAGAUCCUAAGUGAAACAGUUUGUGGACAGCUCACAAGCCAUUGUUAUUGCAAGAAAACUUGCCCAUUGAAGGUGAAGAGUCAUCUCUGUUCAUGAAAGACAGCCCAAUUUCCAGUUGGAGAACAAAGAGUAUAUUUGAGGGUGUAAGGCUGGUGAAAUAGCUUGGCUGAGUAAAUGCUCCUGCAGCAAUGAUUACUGCCUGAUCACUCAGUGGUGAAGGAACAGGAAAAUAAAAUGGCACAGAUUGCAUCCACCAGGUGACAGAUGAGAGAAAGGGGCAGAAUAUAGUUCAAAGGCUGGCGAGACCCACAUGACCUCCUGCAGUCCCUGAAAGAGGAUGUCUGUACUAAUUUUGGGUUGUGCAAUCGUAUUGAGCACUCAACCCCCCCCCCCCCAUGUAAAAAAUAAGUCACGUUAAGAUUUGGUGCAGUGUAGAUGGAUCAGAAAGAAACAUCUGAGAAACACAUCUCUGUCUGGCCCUGGAAAGAGAGAAUCAGCCCAAGGAUGGAACUGGCAGUGUGUCUCCCUGUGUCAGACACUGUGUUCAGCACUUUACAUACAUUGUCUUAGAUUUGCCUCAUUAGUCCUUUGAGGAAGGCUUUAAUACCCUUCAUUUGCAAGACAUUUUGAAGCUCAGAGACCUGAAGUGAGUCAUCUAAAUUCACUCAGCUAAUAAGUGGAAGAGCUGGGAUCUGAACCCAGGUCUGCUUGGCUAUCACUCCAUAUUGCUUUUAAACGGGAUGAUGUCUGCAAUUUAGCAGUUUAAAAGGUCAAAAGUGUGAUUACAAGGCAUCCAUUCUGGACGCGUUCCUUUGCUGCCUCCCUGAGUCGGUGGAGAGGAGCUGUGCGCGGACGUGUCCGUCUUCGCUGUGCAGUCCCUCAAGCCCCCUCGCCCCAUUCUUCAGCCGUGACCUUAAAAACAGGACUUGCGCCUCCCCUCGCCCAGUCUCGGCGCGGAAUCUCUUGUCCUGACCUAUUUCAAGGGCGGCACACUGAUCGGAAUUUCGCCUUCUCCGCCCUCUCCCAGCCCUCCACGUCUCCUCGGCGCUUCCAUCCUCAGGGCGUUUCUACCUCCCGUUGGUCCCGCUGGCAGCCUGCAUGCCAGGGACACUUUCCUGGCUGAGCACAGGACGCCCAUCUCCUCCUGGGCUGCGUUGCCGGUGCCCCUUAGGCCGCUCUGGCUCAACUCCGUUCCUGGGACGAGCUGCCCCCACCCUUUGCCCCCCAGUUCAGCCUAGGCUGGGACCCUCCUCCUUCAGGGUGGACGUUCGGGAGUGGACACGCGCAGCGCCGCGCCGUGUGCCAGGCGCUAAUGCAGGCGCUGGGGGCCGAGAGACCCAGGAGACGGCGCAGGGGCCCGGGCCGCCGCGUCCCGGCAACGGCGAGGUCCCUCCUCCGAGGCGGAGGGGGCUGGAGGAGGCCUCGCGGCCCGGGAGGAGGCUUCCCCGCCCAGGAGGGGGCUCGCCUGAGUCUCGAAGCACGAGCAGCGUUUCCAUGCUUUCCCACAGCUGGGGUGCUGCGGUUAUCGCUCUAGAAGGCGACUGCCACGGAGGCGGCAGGGGCAGAAGGAGCGGGGAGGAAGGAGAAAGGGGUCCUCCGGGGCUUUCCAUCCCGUCCUCUCCAUCCCGUCCUCGAUCCUUUAAGGAAGAUGAGCCCCGAGCUCCCGUCCGUGCCGCCCCCUCUGUCCGCGGGGCCGGCGGGGGCCAGCCCUGCAACUGCCAUUUUUUAAAAGGCACUGACUGUGCCUUAGAGACGCUCCUAAGUGCUAGAGAGUGCCCUCUUUCUGGGCACAACGUUGUCCGUCGCUACACGCACCUGGCAACCGCGGGAGGCCCCACCUGCCGGGGUGCCCCACCUGCCGUCCCCCUGUCCCCGGGCGUCCUGGAGCCGGGAGCCCCGGCGUGCGUCCUGCGGCCAGAAGUGCAGAAGGGUUUGGUCCCAUCUCAGCGGACGCGCGCGGGCCCUGCAUCCAAGGAGAGGCCUUUGCUCCGUUCAAUGUCAGGCCCACUACAAGUGUGCUGCGGUGGGGAAGACGCUGAAGACCAAGCUGCCGGUGGUUCCUUUUGCUGAAUACGGAAGAAAAGACCUGCUACAUAUUUGCUGCCUCAUUUAACCUUCACGAUAAUCCUAUGAGGUAGCAUCACUGUGACCCUCAUUUUAGAGGAAAGAAUGCUAAGGCUCAGGUUUUUCGUGGUCAGUGCUGAGAUUCAAAGCCAGCUCUGUUGGACUGAAGGCCCCUCACGCGUGCUGCCUUCCUGCCAUGGAAGAGCUUCUCAUCCUCCGUGGAUAAUAUUCACCUGAGAAUAAAGGAUACGUCACCCAGGGAAGUCCCUACAAUGCUUUCCAUGUCUAACGCUUGGUUUUAAGUUGUGCUUGCUUACAGGAACUGAGGCAGUAUGUUGCCCGAAGGCCAAACCACAGAACCCGUCCAAACCAGAAGGUCCAAGACGGCGAUGGGGCGCCCUGUGCAAGAAGGGAAGCUCCACGCAUGCCCCACGUGCCCCAGCCCGGAGCCACGACCCGGUGACCCCUCCCCGAUCCCCCAUCCCGUAAGAACCCUGCUCACCUGCCCUUGGGGAGAAGGCGUUGAGAGCUCGAGCUCUGCCUCCUCCGUUCAUCGGUUCUGAAUUAUGUCCCCCCAAAUCAGAGUGUUAAAGUCCAGCCCGCACUACCUCAGAAUGUGACUGUAUUUGGAGUUAGAGGCCUUAAAGAUGUAAUUAAGGUAAAAUGAGGUCAUAUGAGUGGGUCCCAAUCAAAUCUGACCGGGGUCCUUAUCAGAAGAGGACGUUGGACACAGACACUCACAGAGGGAAGACCCUGGGAAGACGAAAGGGAGGUGAUGGCCCUUUACAGCCAAGGAGGGGGGCCUUGGGAGACACCGACCCUGCCGUCUUGGACUUCUGGCCUCCAGAACCAAGGAAAUAAAUUUCUGUUG